rnacentral:piRNA from 1 species
UCCAAUUAUAAUUUUUGGUUC